UUCUGGCAUCGACCUCCCAAACUCAUUCAAAUAUUUCCCUUUUUUUUUUAAAUUUAAUGUUCCCUAUAAUUCAUCUGUCCCAAAAGGUAAUCAAUAGAGGCCGUAAUGAAAAUUUGAGCCAUAUUUUAUGAUCCGCUGCAGGAGAAAGGGCCACAUCAGCAGGACUAGCCUUGGCUUCCAGCAUCAUUUCUGUGUGCAUUCACCUGCUCACUGGCCAGAUUCCCUCCUCCAUGCACCCCAGGCUGCUGACAGGGGCAGGCCCUCCAGGAUAAACUUCCACCCUUUCCUCCAACUUCAAACAGCUGCCGCUGGAUCCACAGUAGAAGAUGUACAUGAGGGGGUAAAGGAAUUUCCUACAGAUUGCAAAGGGCCCUGACCCCAUGGCCCCAGGGAGCCUCCAGACCAUCCCUCAUAUUCUCAGUUCUCAAACAAGUCCUAUGACCCUCUACCAGGUCCAUGGGGAUAUGAUGAUCAUGUAGCCAGAUAUGAAGAAUUACUUAAAUCCAUCAUAGUAAUUCCAUAAUCCCUGGCACUGUCUCUCAGUCAAGCUGGGCUUUAUGCUCCUCUUCUCCCAGACAUGAGGACAGUCACUCAUGGGGAAAGAAGAGGGAUUCCCCUAGGAACUGCCUGAGUCAAGAGCCCUUCAGGGCUCCCACCAUUGACAGUAAAGACCAAAAAAGCACCUUUGGUUUCCCUGUUUCAUGAGCAGCCACACAGUUGCAAAUGAGCUCAGUACUGUCCAAUUCCAGACACUGAACAUUAGCAAGCACAGGAGCAUACUCCAUAGCAUCACUCCAGCAAAACACUCACCUCUUCUCCCUCCUGUGCACUAUCAUCUGGGUCUCAGUCCUACAGAUACAUUCAAGCUUUUGAAUGGUUUGAAAACAAGAAUCUGAAGUCCCAACUUUGUUGAGCACCAAUGGAAACACAAGAAGAGAAACGCUGCAGGAACCUAAAACACAUUCUCACAUCUACCAUAAAAAUCCAUGUCCAGUCACUAAGACUGUACUCCUCCAUAUCUAGUUCCAGGGGAAGCUCAAACAAACAGCUACUUCCCUUCUUCCUUUUGGGCAGAAAUACUACAACUAAUCUCAAAUCUAUCAAUUUCAUUAUAGAAUGUAUUAAUUUAGGAGUCAUGCUGACCUUGCUUGCCCAACUGGGGAGUGGCAAGGAGAGGCAAUCAUGUCUCAGUGCCACCUACACACGCUGCUGUGUGUUUUUCAAUCCCCACUGUAAAUCCUACAGCACUCCAGAGCACCUCAAUCCAUCCUCCCGGCACACAGCUAGCGGGCUUGUUGGUUUUGCACAUGGAUGCAGCCAGGGCUGAAGGAAGGCAAAAGCCUCGCUCGUGUUCCCGGAACCCUUCUCCAUCUCAGAUUCCCAGCAGCAGGUUCCCUGUCCUCCCUUUAAAGGCUGGAGCAUAUUUCAUUGCCUGAAGCUGCCGCAUCUGCAGGGAGCCGGAGGUAACAAAACCGUCUUUGAUUUGGCCAAGGGAAAAAUAUCAGAAGUGAAAGGCCAGAGUGAGGAAUUUAUAACAGCAGCUAAGGCAGCAAAAAUACAAGUGCCUGACCAGAAGCUGCCCUCCUUCUCAGCAUGUCACGUUGUUUAGCUUCCCUUGUAUCUUGAAGGGGCAGGAUAUUGCAGAGAGCCUUGCCAGAACCACCAAUUUCCUACCCACACCAGCAUACUGACACCCUCUCUGGACCCCUGCACAGCACCAACCCACAGGUAUAAGCUGCAAUUCCAGGGAAACCUCUGCUCACCCAGAGGUGCAGGUGGGAAUCUUGUACAAUAUAAUUGCUCAAGACAUUACUUAAAAAAUGAUGUAGCACACCACUGUGCAGAUAUAGUGAUGGUAAUUUACCUCCCAAGAUAGAAAUGCCCUCUGUCAGAUGGACAGACUGAAUCCCCACAACCAGCAGUAGCAAGAGCAACAGCCUAACAUUCCCACCUUUCCUUUCUCAUGGAAACUUGGGAAUCAACCAUCCUUGUUUAAAAAAUAGAACAAAAUAAUCAAACUAAUUGCUCUUUCUACUACAUAAAUUAGGUUACAAACUUGAAAAAUGUGGGACUUAAGGGCUGUGAAUCCAGAGAACAUGGAUAAGCAGCUUCAUGCUUUAAACUCACACUGGAAAGGAGACUGAAAUCCCAAGCAGAACUGGGAAAGCACUGCCUGCCAUCUCUGAAGACCUGUGUCAGCACCAUGCAGAUCCAUCCUCCUGUUUAAUCCAGCUGCCAACGCAGCAGUGAUGGAGAUACCUGCCUGCGAGCUGACGGAAAGCACGCUGUAACAUGGCUGUUGCAGUCACUGCUAACUUGCCCCAGAUUUGAACUGGUGACCCUUACUAAUAUCAUCCAGUCCCUUGAUAUCCUGAGGGAGCGAUCAGCACGUUUUAUUAACCCAGCCAAUUUUGGAAGUGCAUAGGCAGUAUUCUAGUUCCUUGUUACAAUUAUGCAUUACAGGUCCAUUUCACCCAUAUGCCUGUGCUCAAGUGAUGUGCAGCAGAGCUUUCUGCUGUCAUAGCCAUGGCACAAGGAGCCCAGCCUGAGCCAGCCCUGGUGCUCUCAGAGGACAGAACAAACCCAAUCACUUGCAGCAGUGAUAUUCCAGCCUAAAAAUAAGCCCCACAGAUCCCCACAACCAAACCCAUGUUUUUAAAAUUACACGUUUCCACCUAUUGGUCCCUGGACUGAAGUAAUUGCUUUUGCUAGUUCUAAAAGCCAGAGCUGGUUCACUGAAAAAAAAAUAAAAAA
ensembl:lncRNA